CCUACGUGGGGCAGCAGUGGGGAAUAUUGCACAAUGGGGGAAACCCUGAUGCAGCGACGCCGCGUGAGUGAAGAAGUAUUUCGGUAUGGAAAGCUCUAUCAGCAGGGAAGAAAAUGACGGUACCUGAUUAAGAAGCUCCGGCUAACUACGGGCCAGCAGCCGCGGUAAUACGUAGGGGGCAAGCGUUAUCCGGAUUUACUGGGUGUAAAGGGAGCGUAGACGGGAGCACAAGUCUGGAGUGAAAUGCCGGGGCUUAACCCCGGAAGUGCUGUGGAAACUGGGCAGCUUGAGUGCAGGAGAGGUAAGUGGAAUUCGUGGUGUAGCGGUGAAAUGCGUAGAUAUUAGGAGGAACGCCGGUGGCGAAGGCGGCUGACUGGAGUGUAACUGACGUUGAGGCUCGAAAGCGUGGGGAGCAAACAGGAUUAGAUACCCGGGUAGUC
rnacentral:rRNA from 1 species